UAUGUAGGCAGCAAGCGUUGUUCGGAAUUACUGGGCGUAAAGAGUGUGUAGGCGGUGCUCUAAGUCUGUCGUGAAAUCUCCCGGCUUAACUGGGAGGGUGCGGCGGAAACUGGAGUGCUCGAGGGUGGGAGAGGAAAGCGGAAUUCCUGGUGUAGCGGUGAAAUGCGUAGAUAUCAAGAGGAACACCUGCGGCGAAGGCGGGUUGCUGGGCCGACACUGACGCUGAAGUGCGAAAGCCAGGGGAGCGAACGGG
rnacentral:rRNA from 1 species